UUUGGAUACAGCUGUAGAAGACCAGGUUACAGUCCUCUUUCCUCUACAGGUGCAGCUGUGGUAAUGAUGCCAUGAUGACAACAGAAAGAGAGAAUAUGCUGCAGGGAGACACACACACGGUUCUUAGGAGAAUGAAGCAGCUUCAGUCCCCCACAAUCUGCAUGACAGAGCAUCCUGGCCUGGAAACUGUGUGCUUCACUGUCUACUCUCUGCAAAAUGCACACAACUUUUAUCGGGCUGACUAUUGACCUUUGAUGCUCAGGCUAUACCGCUUUUGUCAGCUGCUGCUGGGGCCAUCUUGGGAGAAAGGUGAGGUUUGUCAUUCCCUCGUGUGAAGUCCUCACCAUACGCGAGGAGUUCCCUGGUGAUGGCGACAGUUACGUUGUCUUCAGACCGCCCCUCGACGGAAACGACUGACACAACCAGCGAUGACCUCUUCUUUUGGUAGUCUCUCGAACUGAGAGGA